UCUGUUUAAAAACGUUUCUUAAAUGGUAGCAAACGAAACGGGGAUAAACAUACCGGAAUUUGUCUCAAAGAAACUCACGUUUGGAACUGUUGGACUAACGAGUACACCCUAGAUACGCUUAGCGCACAACCGUGAGUCAAGGACAUUCCUGGUUGCGACAACCAAUCAUAUCUCCGUCGGCAACCAAGAAUUGCACUCGCCAACCAAUCCGAGACACCAGUGCAACCAAGUGGUAACCAAGAAUUAACCGAUGAGGUUAUAGCUAUGGCGGGACCUUUAAACUCUAGAAGAGGACAAUGGAAAAAUACUGUAACCCCAGGGUCGUCACAAUGUUUCUUCUCACGAAAUUUUGUUCGGGAGUUAUUUCUUUUAUAUUUAAACGCUAGAAGAGGACCAUGGAAAAAUAUAUUUCCUCUCAGACAUGGAGCCCGGGUUCAGAAAACUGCCAAAUGGAAGCCUUGUCUUAACAGACAGUAAGGAUUCUAGGAUUUACAGGACAUAAACUACUAAAAGAGUGUGGAGCCAGGCUGUGUCUCCAGGCAAUGUGGUGGAAUCAGCCAGGAGGGCUGUACUGCUCAGAUGUGGCAACCCAACAAGCAGGGCACAUUUGCUGGGUCAGCAUGAGAUACAGUUUGGCCUUUAUAAGGAGCAGUCUUUCAAGUGGGUGGUUGAAAAUGUGCAGGGCUGGGCUGGGUAUUUGGUGGCAUCGAUGCAGAAAGAAUCUGCCUCUCAGCCAGCGAGGAGUGAUUUCAAAAGCCAUGCUGCUAAUAAGAUGGCUUUCAAGGAAUACAUGGAGCUCUUCCACGAGGAGGCCGGGAGGCUAUCAGGAUUAAGUCCACCACCAAUCCAUUCAAAGACCAGAUGACCACUGGUUCCCAGAGGUCCUCAACAUCCUCACUCAGGUCAUUGCUGGUUGGACAAUUACGCCGCUCAUGGAUAUCUCAACAGCACAAUAAGGAAGCUCAUGUCUCCUCGGAAGGUUCAGCCUAUUCUACUUUUCAGCCCUUCCAGCCUCUGAGCCUGAUGAUGGUGAGCUCCUUAUGGCAGCAGAGCAGCUUGAGUCACAGGAGUCAGACGUGCCACGACCAAUGGAGUUACAAAGAGCGACAUAAUAUGCCUUCCCAAGGAUUGGCAACGCACUUUGCCUGAUGUGGACCAUAAGUGGGUGUCCAAGGCAUUGUUCAGGUGGUCGGGGAAUAGGAUUCCAGAGAUGACUUUGCCAGGGUUGACAAAAUGUGGUGGGACGCCCCUCCACCACCCCUCAUCUGCAGCUCAGCACCGGUGAUGGAGAGGUACUUUGUCCAUCCUCUGCUGCUCUGGAUACCCAGGAAGCUCUUGCGGGUGAAGCUGUAUUGCCCACAUUCUGGUUGUUAGGGGGAGCUGACCUCAUCAGGACUCCACCAGAAGAUCAGGCAGGUUGUGGAUGUGGACAGAUCUUACUAUCUGGCAGCAGAAUACCUUCAAUGUCCCAAGUGCAGUACGAAGGUCAUCAAUUGGAAACACAGCAUCCUUUCCCAGCUGGACAUAGGCCACAGCAUCCAGUUUCCCUGCAUUUUGACAGCUAAACCCGUCUGUGACAUCAAGGUAGUUCAUCUGAUGAGACAGCGAGGUCUAGGGAACAGCAGCAGCCAUAUACAAAAGAAGGUGACAUCUGUGCCCAAGUACCGCUGGCUAAUGCAGAUAUACACCCAGGAUGUCCUGCCCCAACUGGAUGAGGUCAAGGCCAGCAUUACCUCCCACGGUCCUCAAGAUCGACUCAACCAAGAAGGUAGUAAAGAAGUUGGCAAGCCACAGUGCCAAAACUGCUGUGUGGGCCACUAAUGUGGGAAAUGAGCAUGGACAAGUCCUCAUGUCCGUGCUCACAGCCAGUGAGGGCAAAAGGACUGGGCCCUAUGGUCGAUGGCCUCAUCAAAAAGUAUGCGGAUGCUGGAAUCACAACACCUUCCAUCCUGUAUAUGAACAGGGACUGUUGCGGAGCAAGCCACAUUCAGAAGAUGUUCGCUGCCUGGCCACAGCUGAAGAUAAAGCUGGACAUGUGGCGCAUUGCAGUUGGUUGCAACACUAACUCCCACCAUCUGUAUGCAACGUUCAUGAAUUGUCUCAGCCAGUGCAUUUUCCAGUACGACCAGGAUGACCUAAAAGCACUGAAGGAUGCAAAACGAAAAGAGCUGGAGGCAAAGCUCAUGGGUCCAUUAGAUGCUGAUGUCAUGCGUAACAUCACUCGGAGUGAGCUGGCCCUGCCCUGCCGAAGAACCACACGUGGCACAGAGGAGACCCAGACUCUGAUCACUGAGCUCAUCAAUGGCUGAUGGUGAGAAGGGGCGUGACUCCUUGGGUGUGCCUCUGAUCAACUCCUGCAGGAUGGAGGACAUCUGGAGGACACAGAUCAAGCAUGUAGCCUGCCUGCAAGACCCAGAGGGUGCCCAGUUAUAUAUCCAGACUGGCAUCAGCAUCAAGGGAGGACUUCCCCUGCCCACAUACAGAUGUGCCAGAAGUUCCACAUCACUAGAAUGCUUCCAUCUUCACCUGAACCGAUUCCUCCCAGGGAAAAACACAAUCAAAACAAUUCACUUUUAAUGUACAAUUACUGUUGUCUCUGUUUGAACUGGUGGUUGUAUUCGAAUGUACCAACCUUGUGAAUUUAUAUUUCAGGUACACUAGCCAGUGAUACCUUCUAUCAGAUGUACCUGGUUGAUGGAUUGGCACGGUGUCAUCAGGACCAUGCUGUUGCAGCUACAAGUGACAAGAAGGAGCCACACUCCUACAGUGUCAUCCUUCGUCACACUGCCAACACCCUCAGGGAGGAUAUGCUUGGAAAGAUUAUGGUUCCUUACACUGUUCCAGGCAAAUACACUGAUGUCCAAGGGGAGGAUGAGGGCUUUGUGGAAUUUCAGGACCUGACAGUUCCAGUGCUGGAGACAGCCCUGCCUCUUGGCAUCUUUCGUCCUAUUCCCACCCCCUCUACCAGCAUCCAGUCCACAGCUGCAUCAGUCAGUCACCUGGCUUCCACUCUUGUACGUGCUACUCCACCACCUGGGCCUCUGUCCUCUACACCUGUGCUCGCCAGUCCAUCAGUCAGUCCCAUCCUCUACUCCUGUAUGGGCUACUCCCCCCACAGGCAGGCAAGAGUGUGCAAGGCGGUAUUGAAUGUGUCGCUGUCUGUUGCCUUGGCUGUGUUUGUAAAUUCACUCUGGAAUGCCAGAGUCUGCUCAGUGCGUUCUUGGGCGUUCAUAAAAUUCAGAGCGUUUUGCUCCUGGAGCGUUUUAAAACACACACUGGACGCUCUGGCCAAAGAGUAGGUUUGAUGCAAGCUAGCGUUCUGAUCUCACAACAGCAGCACCCAAGCUAACUGACUGAAGUUGGCUAGCUUGCUAAUGAGAGAAUACCUCACUCUGACCAUUUUAUUGGCCCUAGCAGAGCUGGUUAGGCUGCUUUCAUGUUAUCUAGUGCGUUGACUGUAACUGCGGCUGGCAACAAUUUACUGACACCCGUCAUAUUCAACAGGUGUUGCGUGUUAUUAAAUGAAUGUUACCCCUUGAU